ensembl:lncRNA
GAAUUUCUAUAAUAUUUAUAAAUGUUGUAUAAGUAACAUGCUAUAGGCUAUGCUAGUUGUUUAUGAUAAUUAAAGCAAAGUCAGUGAGUUAAAAACAGAGCAAAUGUAGUUAAGAUGUAAGUUAUGUGCUGUAUUCUGUGAAUCGAGACAGAUAUUUCCCUCUUUCUUUCUCUGUUUACAGUCUGUCAUUGUGGGCUGUAAUGGGCAGGAAGCUGCAGGAGUUGGCCCAGUGACAACCUCCAAAAGAGCCCUGAACCCCCUCCAUACACACACACCCCUCUGUCAGGCUGGGCCAGGAAGAAAAGCACUUCACAGAGAACAAGAGGGAGGAAGACAGAGAAAGAUCUACUGCAGGCCUCAGGCUUCAGUCCAGAAAAUCUGCCCUGGUCCGUCAUCAAACCUUCCAGCCCCCGGGAGCUUCUUGCCAAUCUAGAACUCACCUGACUGAGCUUCAAGCACAUGGAGUGACCCUGAGGUUGCAUAGAGAGCUGAGAUGUGAGGCGAAACAAAGCUCUCUGCUGCACGUUCCUCCAAGGCCAUAAAGUGAAAGCAUCUCACUGGACCUAAAGAGAAAUUCAUUUUGACACUGUUUUUAUAGAAAAGAAGCAGGAAAGCACAAAGCAGGAACCAAAAAAAACAAAUAUGAGUGCAUGACGGUAUUAAUUUGAAAGAAUUGCCAGUGAAGUUGACUAAUGCAACAUUUAAGAGGUCCUUAAUGCUUGAAUUUAUAAAAGCAUUAAAUCAUGUUAUCCCUCACUGUCUGGAUGACAAAAAUUAUCACAUGCCUCUCCAUUGCAGGUUCUGUCUAGCUUCAGGAUACACGGCUGAAUCUUAUGCCUUCUCCACUCUCAACUGAUCUUCACGUUAAUCCAAUUAUCACCUAUUAAUUCCUAUUACUUCUACUGCAAUGCUUCUGAUUUGCUAAAACAAACCUGUGGAUCUUUAAUCAGGAAAAAGCAGCAUUUUCAACCGUUUUGGUGUGAUUAUAAUGAAACUAUAAAUGUGCUGCAAACCAAAACCCCAUACAAUAAGGAGAUUAAUGAGUAAGCGAGGUGUACACCGGUUAUUUGAUUUUGAAAAUGAGCAGCAUAAUUUCAUCUUUUCAGUUAGGAAUAAUCUAUUAUUUAAUAACUUUUCGCCUCAUCCUUAAUUAAAAGACAUUCCUCAGCUUUAAGCCAUGGGAAGGUUUGGCUUUGGGAAACU